rnacentral:rRNA from 1 species
UACGGAGGGGGCUAGCGUUGUUCGGAAUUACUGGGCGUAAAGCGCGCGUAGGCGGACCUGCAAGUCGGGGGUGAAAGCCCGAGGCUCAACCUCGGAACUGCCUUCGAUACUGGGGGUCUCGAGUCCGGGAGAGGGGAGUGGAAUUCCUAGUGUAGAGGUGAAAUUCGUAGAUAUUAGGAAGAACACCAACGGCGAAGGCAGCUCGCUAGGACGGAACUGACGCUGAGGCGCGAAAGCGUGGGGAGCAAACAGG